UACGUAGGGUGCGAGCGUUGUCCGGAAUUACUGGGCGUAAAGAGCUCGUAGGCGGUCUGUCGCGUCGAAUGUGAAAACCCGGGGCUCAACUCCGGGCUUGCAUUCGAUACGGGCAGGCUAGAGUUCGGUAGGGGAGUCUGGAAUUCCUGGUGUAGCGGUGAAAUGCGCAGAUAUCAGGAGGAACACCGGUGGCGAAGGCGGGACUCUGGGCCGAUACUGACGCUGAGGAGCGAGAGCGUGGGGAGCGAACAGG
rnacentral:rRNA from 1 species